rnacentral:pre_miRNA from 1 species
CGGGGGAGGCCGGAUCCCGGGCUGUGUGCUCCCGGUCUGCUGUGCUCCCGGUCUGCACUGUUGGAUUCGCGCUCCCGCCCCGCAGCCCCCU